AACCAGCUAACGAGUCUCAAAUAGGACGAAACGCGUAUCCUGGGU
rfam:Schistosoma haematobium scaffold208_18, whole genome shotgun sequence.